GUCGCACGAGAAAGGGAGCUUCGGUUCCUGAGUAAAGUGGCGCACGGGUGAGUAACACGUGAAUCAUCUACCUUCGAGUGUGGAAUAACUGAGAGAAAUCUUAGCUAAUACCGCAUAAUACCUACGGGUCAAAGCAGCAAUGCGCUUGAAGAGGAGUUCGCGGCAGAUUAGUUAGUUGGCGGGGUAAUGGCCCACCAAGACGAUGAUCUGUAUCCGGCCUGAGAGGGCGCACGGACACACUGGAACUGAAACACGGUCCAGACUCCUACGGGAGGCAGCAGUGGGGAAUUUUGCGCAAUGGGGGAAACCCUGACGCAGCAACGCCGCGUGGAGGAUGAAAUAUCUUGGUAUGUAAACUCCUCUCGAUGGGGAAGAUAAUGACGGUACCCAUAGAAGAAGCCCCGGCUAACUUCGUGCCAGCAGCCGCGGUAAUACGAGGGGGGCAAGCGUUGUUCGGAAUUAUUGGGCGUAAAGGGUGCGUAGGCGGUUUGACAAGUCAUCUGUGAAAUCUAUGGGCUCAACCCAUAGUCUGCAGGCGAAACUGUCGGGCUUGAGUAUUGGAGAGGUGAGUGGAAUUUCCGGUGUAGCGGUGAAAUGCGUAGAUAUCGGAAGGAACACCUGUGGCGAAAGCGGCUCACUGGACAAUAACUGACGCUGAUGCACGAAAG
rnacentral:rRNA from 1 species